AAGCAGCGGUAACAAUGCAUCUUUUUUUUUUUUUUUUCUUUUUUUUUUUUAAUUAGGCUUUUAAAACUCUAAAAGAUAUCUUCUAUGUGGUUUUGAGUGGCAGUAAGAUUUUAACUGCAGACUUCAUUUGCACUUCCCACAAGAAAGGUUUUCUAUAAUUUCGUUCAAUUAUCCAUAUAAUUUUAAAAAUCAUUUGUCAAUAUUAUGAAGCAUUGAUUUAGACCACAAAUCACUGAUUCCUUACUGGAAGAAUAAUUAACUCGCAUAUAUACUUUUAGAUGUUAUUUCUUGGAUUUUUAUGUCUCUGUGUUAUUAUGAUAUAUGAGUGACUUGAUUGUAUUUGCUAUUACAAGAUUUUCAUAGGAACAAAUGGAUUUCUUGUGUUUAGGGCUUUAAGCAUUCAACUCAUGAACAGUUCCAAAUUUCACACAAUAUUAGCAUUAAUCAACUACCUUGAAUUGUACUGAUAGUGUUGGGGUUUUUUUGUAACUAUUGACCUAUGAACUCUUCAAUUAAUUUACUAUAAAAAGCAGAAUUCAGAUUCCGAUACGGUAUGAAAUUUUACAUAUUUUAUUCACGUUAUAUCUAAUCUUAACAACUCAAAUCUAUAAACAUUAAAACAAUGUGCCUCAUAAAGCAACAUUUCUUGGGCUUUUUAAAAGGAAGGUAUUGCAUGCUAUUAAAAUAAAGCAUUGAGAACCAGUUUCAUCUCAGAAGUUUUAUUCCACAGGAAAUUUAACAUAAUUACUAAUUUUCAAUUCCUUGCACAUUAUUUCCAUGUUUGGAAGAUUAACCUCAACAGCUUCAGAAAGACAUCAGCUUAAAUUCCCCAGAAGAAAUAUUCUUCAUUAUUUCUAUUGUUUUCAGUGAGAUCAUUACACUGCCAUAUUAUAAUUAGGACAAUUGAUUUGGAGCUCAGCUAUGUGGCAGUGUGACUUGGGGAGAAGGCAGCAUGUAAAAAGAACUGUGGUUAAUGAACCAUCCACUUAAAUCUCAAAGUGAUACUUUUAGGAGGAGUUAGGAUCAUGCAAGAGAAAAGUUUCUUUUGCUUUCCUACACACACUUUCUUUUGCUUCCCAAACCUGGUUCUGGCUGAAACAAGAGGAGCUACUUGAAAUAUUUGCCCCAUGUUAUGACAGACACAUCUAGAGAAAAAACUGUUUUACAGCAAUAGUUUCAGAUACAAUUUUUGUAAAUGUGAAAACUUUCAAGUUUCUGUGUACAUCUAAUCUUUUGGUACUUCAUGAGUUAUCAAAAAGUAUCUGAUUUCAUGUUUUAUUCACAGAGAUGGGAAGAUAAAAAUAUUACUACCUUAAAAAAAAAUGAAAAAAAAAGAAGGUCAAGAAUAUACUGAGUUUGAAAGAAGUUGGUUACAGGCGUCCUAUUUGUACAAUGAUGAU